UACGGGGGGGGCAAGCGUUGUUCGGAAUUACUGGGCGUAAAGGGCUCGUAGGCGGCCAACUAAGUCGGACGUGAAAUCCCCAGGCUCAACCUGGGAACUGCGUCGGAUACUGGAUGGCUUGAGACCGGAAGAGGUAAGUGGAACUGCGAGUGUAGAGGUGAAAUUCGUAGAUAUUCGCAAGAACACCAGUGGCGAAGGCGGCUUACUGGUCCGGUUCUGACGCUGAGGCGCGAAAGCGUGGGGAGCAAACAGG
rnacentral:rRNA from 1 species